UAGGGAAUCUUCCGCAAUGGACGCAAGUCUGACGGAGCAACGCCGCGUGAAUGAAGAAGGAUUUCGGUUCGUAAAACUCUGUUGUUAGAGAAGAACAGCGCAUAGAGUAACUGUUAUGCGUGUGACGGUAUCUAACCAGAAAGCCACGGCUAACUACGUGCCAGCAGCCGCGGUAAUACGUAGGUGGCAAGCGUUGUCCGGAUUUAUUGGGCGUAAAGCGAGCGCAGGCGGUCAAUUAAGUCUGAUGUGAAAGCCCCCGGCUCAACCGGGGAGGGGCAUUGGAAACUGGUUGACUUGAGUGCAGAAGAGGAGAGUGGAAUUCCAUGUGUAGCGGUGAAAUGCGUAGAUAUAUGGAGGAACACCAGUGGCGAAGGCGACUCUCUGGUCUGUAACUGACGCUGAGGCUCGAAAGCGUGGGUAGCAAACAGG
rnacentral:rRNA from 1 species